rnacentral:tRNA from 1 species
GCGGGCAUAGCUCAGCGGUAGAGCGCCACGUUGCCAACGUGACUGUCGAGGGUUCGAUCCCCUUUGCCCGCUCCA